AUUGAACGCUGGCGGCAGGCCUAACACAUGCAAGUCGAGCGGAUGAAGGGAGCUUGCUCCUGGAUUCAGCGGCGGACGGGUGAGUAAUGCCUAGGAAUCUGCCUGGUAGUGGGGGAUAACGUCCGGAAACGGGCGCUAAUACCGCAUACGUCCUGAGGGAGAAAGUGGGGGAUCUUCGGACCUCACGCUAUCAGAUGAGCCUAGGUCGGAUUAGCUAGUUGGUGGGGUAAAGGCCUACCAAGGCGACGAUCCGUAACUGGUCUGAGAGGAUGAUCAGUCACACUGGGACUGAGACACGGCCCAGACGCCGACGGGAGGCAGCAGUGGGGAAUUUGGGACAAUGGGCGCAAGCCUGAUCCAGCCAUUCCGCGUGCAGGACGAAGGCCUUCGGGUUGUAAACUGCUUUUGUACGGAACGAAAAGGCUCUGGCUAAUACCUGGGGCUCAUGACGGUACCGGAAGAAUAAGCACCGGCUAACUACGUG
rnacentral:rRNA from 1 species